GGGACUACUAGGGUAUCUAAUCCUGUUUGCUCCCCACGCUUUCGCACCUCAGCGUCAGUAUCGGACCAGUGAGCCGCCUUCGCCACCGGUGUUCUUCCCAAUAUCUACGAAUUUCACCUCUACACUGGGAAUUCCACUCACCUCUUCCGAUCUCUAGAUGUCCAGUAUCAAGGGCAGUUCCGGAGUUGAGCUCCGGGAUUUCACCCCUGACUUAACCACCCGCCUACGUGCGCUUUACGCCCAGUAAUUCCGAACAACGCUAGCCCCCUUCGUAUUACCGCGGCGGCUGGCAC
rnacentral:misc_RNA from 1 species